rnacentral:lncRNA from 10 species
GCCGCAAAGUCCAUCCCUACCCGCCUUCCCCUCCCCUUGCGAGUGGUCCCGCUUACCCUUCACUGCCAUCAUCGCCCUGCCUUUCCCAGUCCUGCUGGCUGCGCUCAGUCUUUAGGUGGUAGCAGGCCAGGUACAGCGGACACUUGCUGAUGGGGGAUUCCAGGAGGUGGGAUUUCAAGGAAUAGGAGCUCGGUGAAUUCAAGGACCAUGCUUGCUUCGUUCAUUGUAUCUUCAGCACCUAGCACAGCACCCAGCACAUAGGACAUGUUUGUUGACUGAAUGCGUAUCUCUAUCAUCACACUCACUCAAUGGUGUUGAGAUAUUUGUGUUUCCCCUUCCCUAGACAGUGAGAUCCUUGAAGGCAGCUGCCUUAUCUUAUUCCUUUUUGUAUUUCCAUACCUAGCCUAAUACCUAGCUUAUAUAAGGGAACAGAAUAAAUGAACAAUAAAGAAAAGUCUUUACAGCCUCUAAAA